rnacentral:lncRNA from 1 species
CAUUUAUGGUUUACAAUUGUCUUAGUACAAUUAACUAUUUUCACUUCGCCAUUUGUCUUCAUAUUAAACAGGAUCCGCGUUCGAUUCUCGGAUCCCAUCUUUCUAAAAGUUUGUUCAUUGGCUGUGAACUCAGCCCUAUCUUUGUCCUAUAUAACCGACUGACACUUCCACUUCUGUGGGAAGACUUGGUUUCGCCCAGCCAUUUUUAAGAACUUUUCCGAAUAGAAAUCAACUUAUAACAAAAACAACUAUACUAUCUUCGACUGAUUCAACAAUGCUCAAAUUGGAAGAAAAAUCUGAAAGUAUGGCCUAAAUGUGGAAAAAUAUUUUUGAUCGUUAUGAUAUUUGCUGGAUUUACUUCGUAUGCUACAAUCAUUUAUAUUAGAAAAAUUUUUACCAUGUUUGGCUAUUCAAUUCGUACUAAUUACAUCAACUCAAUAUAGU